CAAGUAUAAGAAAAUAAGUCUUGGCCAAACAAGACCCUUAAAGGGGUCAUUUGCCUUCUCAAGGGUUUCAGACGAAACCCUAGCGCCGCUACCAUAUCCCUUCUCCCCUCACACGUCACGAUUGCCGGAAACGGCAACAUUUCAGGCGUGUUAGUCGCGUAUCAGUCCUAGCAUGGCCAAAACGAGUAGCAUUAAAUGCAAACUCGUCUCUCUCCACCUAUUCUCACCAAACGCUGCCUUAAAAGUUCGAGAUUGGAAGCACAAAGGCUCCAAAUCCAUUCUUGUCUCGACUGCGCAACAAAAAGGUAAUUACUUAUCAUUUUAUUGGUUUCUUUUACUGAGUUUGGAUAUAAAUGUUAGUUGUGUGAUAUUAUGUUUAGAUGGUGGUUUGCUUGUCAUAUUGUUAGCUUAAAUAUUAGCUCAUUAGCUUUGUGAUUCUACUCAGACUAGGCUGUUGUUAAUAAUUCCUUGUUUAUUGUUUAGCCAUCUAGAUCACUGAUGUACUUGUGCACUUUGUUUUGAAUCUUAAAUGAUCUUUGUGGUCUAAUCUAAAUAGAAAUUUGUUGUGUUUAGGUUUAACUGAGCCUUGAUAUUGAUCACAUUAAUUAAAAGAAGCUUGGAACAAUAAAAGAUUCAGUACAAGCUUAAAAUUGGAAGUGGUAAAAUGACUAUAUUUGCUAUCUAUCUGUUAAAUGGUCAUGCUAGCCUAUUAACUAGGAAAAGUGAAAUAACAGCAUCACUCCACUAUCUUAAGUAUAUAGUUUAACAAGUUCAAAUUGUGAUAUUUGUUAGUUUGAAAUAGGGUGUUGGUCCGACUGCUUAAUGGCACCUAAAUCCUUUCUUUAAGAAUUGUUAACCUGAGUCUCUUGCUUUUUGAUGGACCUACUUUAGUGUGGCUUGUCUCACAACCUUGUGUUUUUGAAAUUUAUCCAUGAUUGAAGUCCUAAAUAAGUUCAUUUAGUUCGAAACUAAAAAGGGGAACCUUAGGAUUCAAAUCUGAUCUCUGACUGCUAAAAUAGGUCUAAAUGAUUUUGAUUAAUCAAUGAGGCAAACUGCAGAAGUCUUGUGACACUCCAUGUGGUCUAAAACUAUGGUUCUAUGAUGUCAAGGUCCCUUAAUGGCUUUAAGCAAUGCAGUUAAAGGCCAAGAUCGACUAUGGUAAGAUUUUGGCAUGACAUUGUGCUAAUGAUGUCUAUUGAUACUAAUCACAUAAUCUUAAAAGGAUCAGAAGAUGUAAAAAGGAAAAAUAAAGAGGUCUUAAUUGUAUUAACUGCUCUCAGUUUAAAAUACAGGCAUAUAGAUUAGCCACACAAUGCUGAAGCUAAUUGAUUUAAUAUCUUCUUUUAUGUAAAACUAAGUACAUUUUGGGUAGUGGAAAAUGCUUUGGCCCCUGUGUAUAAGUUGGUUUUACCUGAACAUAUAAAUGUUUUGUCUUAAAAUAGGUCAUCUAAAUGUUGAGAUUGGGUAUGUUUGGAGCAUGCUUUGACCUUAGAUGCCCUCACUUAGCUAUAGUAGGACAAUACAUGUGCCAGCUAGCAUUCUUCUUAAUAGUUUGAAACUGGAGCUUCUUACAUAGCUUUAACUACUUUAUGAAACUUAAUCUGUUAGCUUUAAGAAUAAAAGAGGGAAAAAAGGGGGGACAAGAUGAGAAGCUUGGGUUUGAAUCUGUCUAGUAAGCUGUUUGUGCAAUUGUUUAGAAUUAUAGCCAGUGUGGAAUAUGAAAUGCCAUGGUUUAAAAUACAGAGGUGUUUUUCCUCUCUUGAGACUUGAACUGUUAUCCCUGACGUUGUCUUACUCUGAUGAGUGUAAGUUAGUUUGAAGCAACCAUAAGUUUGGCCUGAUAAGGGCCAUCUAUAGUGUAAAGAGAUUUAAGGUUGCUUUAUGAUCAGAACUCUAGGCUAAAUAAUUGAAAAUACUCAUCUGAGUUCAGAUUAGUCAAGUGUUUGGUUAGGAAUUGAUUCAAUGAUGAUGUUUGUGGGGUCAUAAGUGUUCAUGGGCAAGUUAUGAACCACUUGACAAUAAAGGAGCCUUUUAAAGGCAUCUUAAAAGAGAGGAUUGGGAAGAACCAAGUCCAACUUGGUUCAUAGUACCUUUCUCUAAAUAAGAGGUGCCAUGGCAUACACUAUAAGUCUAUGGGGUGUGUGUCUGCCACAAGAAUACAUACUAACUCUACAAUCCUAUCAUUGAAUCAAAGGGCAAGAGAUAAAACUGAACCUGACUUGUGUAAGAAGGAUUGUUUAACUAAGCCUAGCAUUAUUCUCUUCUAAAACUGGUUCAGUUAGUGCCUAGCUUAUGGAGUCUUAAAAGAAUACUAGUAAGAGGUGAUAGAAGUAAGCCUGUUCAAAUUAAAAUGGACACUAAGUCCUGAAAUGGUUGAUUCUUUGAACCUUACGUUAUAUGUCCCUUCUCUGAAUCUAAUAAGCAAAAAAUGCAUUUACCCUGUUAAGGAACCAUGCCAUGUAUUUCUGUGCUCUCUUCACAUACCCCUAUGCUGUUUAAUUGGGUUCUUUGAAGGAAAAGUGACCAUUUGUGGACUACCCUUAGCUGUCCAAACUUUGCUAAAAUGUUAUAACUAUUGAAUUCUU